GGGCUACCAUGCAAGUCGAGCGGAUGAGAGGAGCUUGCUCCUUGAUUUAGCGGCGGACGCGGUGAGUAAUGCCUAGGAAUCUGCCUGGUAGUGGGGGAUAACGUUCCGAAAGGAACGCUAAUACCGCAUACGUCCUACGGGAGAAAGCAGGGGACCUUCGGGCCUUGCGCUAUCAGAUGAGCCUAGGUCGGAUUAGCUAGUUGGUGAGGUAAUGGCUCACCAAGGCGACGAUCCGUAACUGGUCUGAGAGGAUGAUCAAUCACACUGGAACUGAGACACGGUCCAGACUCCUACGGGAGGCAGCAGUGGGGAAUAUUGGACAAUGGGCGAAAGCCUGAUCCAGCCAUGCCGCGUGUGUGAAGAAGGUCUUCGGAUUGUAAAGCACUUUAAGUUGGGAGGAAGGGCAUUAACCUAAUACGUUAGUGUUUUGACGUUACCGACAGAAUAAGCACCGGCUAACUUCGUGCCAGCAGCCGCGGUAA
rnacentral:rRNA from 1 species